rnacentral:tRNA from 1 species
GGUAGUGUGGCCGAGCGAUAGGCGGCGAGUUGUAGCCUCGCCAACUGGGAUUUGUCCCACGCUACCAGGCC